AUGAACCACACUGUCCAAACCUUCUUCACUCCUGCCAACACCGACCGUACCCCCAACUAUGAGAUGCUGAAGGAGGAGCAUGAGGUGGCUGUGCUGGGGGCGCCCUAUAACCCUGCUCCCCCGACCAUGUCUUCUGGUCCCUGCUCAACACCCUCUUCAUGAACUCCUGCUGCCAGGGCUUCAUAGCAUUCGCCUACUCCAUGAAGUCUAGGGACAGGAAGAUGGUUGGCAACCUGAUCGGGGCCCAGGCCUGUGCCUCCACCUCCCAGUGCCUGAACAUCUGGGCCCUGAUUUGGGGCAUCAUCAUGACCAUUCUGCUGAUCAUCAUCCCAAUACUGAUUUUCCAAGCCUAUCAAUAGAUCAGGAGGAAUCAUCUAGGCCGGGGGACUCUGCCCAUGACCUGUUUUCCACGUACCCAACCUUCCAUUCCUUGCCCUGCCCUCGAGCCAAGUCCUGUAUCAGCCCUUUAUUCUCACGCACUUUUCUACAAUGGUGUUCAAUAAAGUGCAUGUAUU